CCCUUAGAUGUUCGGGGCCGCACGCGCGCUACACUGAAUGAAUCAGCGAGUGUAUGUCCUAGGCCGAAAGGUCCGGGUAACCCGUUGAACCUCAUUCGUGAUUGGGAUAGGGACUUGCAAUUGUUUCCCUUGAACGAGGAAUUCCCAGUAAGCGCAAGUCAUCAGCUUGCGUUGAUUACGUCCCUGCCCUUUGUACACACCGCCCGUCGCUACUACCGAUUGAAUGGUUUAGUGAGGCCUUCGGAUCCGCGACUCGUUUUGUGGAGAAGUUGGACAAACUCAGUCAUUUAGAGGAAGUAAAAGUCGUAACA
rnacentral:rRNA from 1 species